rnacentral:lncRNA from 1 species
CGGAGGACUCUCCCGCCGCCCCUCUCUAUGGUCCGCCCGCCACGCGGCGCCGCUCGGCCCCGCCCCGCUCCGCCGCCGGAGGCGUGGCCGAUCCGCUCAUGAAUAUGCAUGACAGCGGCGGUGGAGGCCCCGGUGAGUCACGGGAGAGGCGGUGGCGGCAGCGUGAGACCCGUGGGGACAGUAACCCCUCCUCCCCGCCCGCUGUGCGCCCCCCACGUGUGUCCCCGGCCCGCCCCCGACAUGAGGCUGCUGUGGGGAAGGGGCUGACCCCGUGCUGAGCC